rnacentral:rRNA from 1 species
GAUCAUGGCUCAGGACGAACGCUGGCGGCGUGCUUAACACAUGCAGGUCGAACGAGAGGACAAGAGAAGCUUGCUUCUUUUGGAAUCGAGUGGCAAACGGGUGAGUAACACGUAAACAACCUGCCUUCAGGAUGGGGACAACAGACGGAAACGACUGCUAAUACCGAAUACGCUUGGGAGACCGCAUGAUCUACCAAGGAAAGGGUGGCCUCUACCUGUAAGCUAUCGCCUGAAGAGGGGUUUGCG